AGUGGGCAGGCGGGUCCGCGCGUCAAAAUCGGGGCCUUCUGUCCACGCUGAGCAACCUCCUCACCUGGCCCACAGUCAGACUGCGCCCGGGCUCUCCAGAAGCCGGCUGAAGUCAACGGGAUUUAUUAUUUAUGCCCGUAUCCUAGGUCUAACCCGCAUAGGGGUUACCACAAGAGGGCAGUUGUGCAACACGCCUGGCAAGCACCAACCCCCAGCUGACCAGGCACCUUGCCAAGCCGUCCCUGCUGAGCUGGCUGGCCUAGAGAUCAUCUGCCCACUGUACGAGCAGUGAUGGAGGCGACCAAACCCCAGGAUGCUCUUGGGAACGUUGAUCUUGUGCAUCGGAAAAAACCUGUUGACUUCAGGGCCACAUACAGGCAACUGUCUUCUUCCUCCAGUUUAAAUGCUUGUGAUCGCUCCUUUUCUAAAAUAGGAUUAGUUCUUCCGUUGUCUUAGUGAUAAUAAAGAACUUCUGACAUA